CCUUAAAAUCGUAAAACGAUUAAUAUUCCGUUUGAUACCAGUGUUAUACAAAACUUGGAACUACUAUUGGAAUUCAAAGAUUUCAAUAAUUAAAAGAAUUGGAUUUAGUUAUCAAUUUUCGUUAAACUUUUAAUAUAGUAGCAGCAUCCAGUUAUGUUCGGAUUUGUUCCGCUGUUUUAAUUGCUAGCAAUAUUAUGAUACGUCCAGUUCGAGUACAAAUACCGUUGAAGAUGUUUCUCUACGGAUAUUUUGUUAUUGCGGUCAUGAUAUUUCAUCACACGCACCAAACCGAAUUCAUAGUUCAUGGGACAGCUGUUGGUCAAGACCCGAACAGUGAAUCCAAAGUUCAACAAUACUUCAAUGAGUUACUUGGCCUUACAGAGAUGAAACCGAUACUCCAAAAUAAUAAUGUUCACUUUGCUGUCGGACCUGCAAUACGAGCGAGUUUAAAAAAGACACACGGUCACGAUAAAGGACGUAAAGAAGCUCGUUGCUUCUUCUUUGGAAAUUUAUGUUCUAUAACCUUUGUAUUUGGAUAACGGAAAUAAAACGGAAAGAAGUUAAAUUAUUUAAACAAUUCAAUAUUUUAUUUUAUAUAAAUUAACUAAUAUAUUAUGUCUAUGAAAUAUUUCUAAAAUAUUUUUUAAUAAUACAAAAGGUAUUGACGCUUCACCAGUAUUUAAUGAAAUUAUAAUUUUUCUUCUAAACUUUUUAUUAGAAGCGUUUGGCUAUCGUCGGAUUUGUUUCGUUGUUUUAAUAGUUAGCAUUUUUAUGACGUAUCAUAAAAAUACACUGGCUGUAGCCAGUCCGAAUACAAAUACGGCUGAAGAUAUUUCUCUGCAGAUAUUGCGUUAUUGAUCUGAAACGAAAGC